rnacentral:rRNA from 1 species
GACAGGAGGGGGCAAGCGUUGUCCGGAUUUACUGGGCGUAACGAGCGCGCGCAGGCGGUCGUGUAGGUACCUGGUGACAGUCUCGGGCUCAACUCGAGGGGUCUGGGUGAGACCGCACGACUGGAGGCAGGGAGAGGAUGUGGAAUACCCGGUGGAGCGGUGAAAUGCGUAGAGAUCGGGUGGAACACCAGUGGCGAAGGCGGCGAUCCUGGACCAAUAUUGACGCUGAGGAGCGAAAGCUAGGGGAGCAAACGGG